CCUACGGGAGGCAGCAGUGAGGAAUAUUGGUCAAUGGACGAGAGUCUGAACCAGCCAAGUAGCGUGAAGGAUGACUGCCCUAUGGGUUGUAAACUUCUUUUAUAUGGGAAUAAAAUGUUCCACGUGUGGGAUUUUGUAUGUACCAUAUGAAUAAGGAUCGGCUAACUCCGUGCCAGCAGCCGCGGUAAUACGGAGGAUCCGAGCGUUAUCCGGAUUUAUUGGGUUUAAAGGGAGCGUAGGUGGAUUGUUAAGUCAGUUGUGAAAGUUUGCGGCUCAACCGUAAAAUUGCAGUUGAAACUGGCAGUCUUGAGUACAGUAGAGGUGGGCGGAAUUCGUGGUGUAGCGGUGAAAUGCUUAGAUAUCACGAAGAACUCCGAGUGCGAAGGCAGUUCACUGGACUGUAACUGACACUGAGGCUCGAAAGUGUGGGUAUCAAACAGGAUUAGAUACCCGAGUAGUC
rnacentral:rRNA from 1 species